rnacentral:lncRNA from 1 species
UUUGACGCCACCAUUGAUUGUACCAGUGACAGUAGCGUCAGGUGUAUGGGGUAAGCCUACUGACUCUAGUUUAAUUAUCCUUUUCCUUGUAUAAUAUUUAUCUCAUUGUUUUUCGUUUCUAUAUUUUCUUAAUUUAAUCUCUUUACCUUUCGAAAAAAUUUAUACUUAGUCAACAUAACAUAUUUUUUAAUGUUUACAUCAUAAUAAUAUUUAUAAUAUUAUUAUAUAUUAUAAGAGAUUUAAUUUUUAUGUGACAUAAAUUAUACAAACCACAAACCCAAAUUAAACAAGCCUAAAUUUUAAAAAAACCCUAGCCUACAAAACUUUUCAGCAAUGAGGGAAACCCUAGAUUUGUUGCCUCCCUUCAGCCACCAUGUGCCCACAUUCAACCGCCACUACCCACAUUCUCCACCACCACACACUAGCGCCCCACGUCCGUGUACCCUUCCUCCAUGUUCACCAUACCUGCAACGAGUAGAGGCAUAAGCAGUUGUAAAUAUGGCUAUAAAAAGCCAUGAAUAUUCAUUUUGUUGGGAGGUUUUUUUUCCCUCUUUUUCCAGAAAAAUAGAGCACUGAUUAUAUACAAAAUACAUACAAAAAUCAAUAGAAAGCAAUCAAGAAUAUACUUCAAAGGUAAUUUAUUGCUAUUUUAUUACGUUUUUUUAUUUUCAUUCGAGUUUACAAUACAAAUACCAAAUAUAAGGGAGAGAGGGAGGAGCUCACCGGGGUCGCAUCUUGCUCACACCGUUGGAGGGCCUUCGCUGGUCGCAAACGGAGGGCCUGGGCACUAGCCUUUCAGCUGGGAAAUAAGGGGAAAGUGGAGGAGUUUGAGAAAAUGUUAUAAAGUUUAUAGAGUUUUUUUUUAAAAAAAAAAACAAAAGGUUAAAAUGUUUU